ACCCUCCUUCUAGCGCCA
rnacentral:siRNA from 1 species